CCUACGGGGUGCAGCAGUGGGGAAUAUUGGGCAAUGGGCGCAACCCUGCCCCAGCAACGCCGCGUGAAGGAAGAAGGCUUUCGGGUUGUAAACUUCUUUUCUGGGGGACGAACAAAUGACGGUACCCCAUGAAUAAGCCACGGCUAACUACGUGCCAGCAGCCGCGGUAAUACGUAGGUGGCAAGCGUUAUCCGGAUUUAUUGGGUUUAAAGGGUGCUUAGGCGGAAGGUUAAGUCAGCGGUCAAAUGUCGGUGCUCAACACCGGCCUGCCGUUGAAACUGGUCUUCUUGAGUGAGCGAGAAGUAUGCGGAAUGCGUGGUGUAGCGGUGAAAUGCAUAGAUAUCACGCAGAACUCCGAUUGCGAAGGCAGCAUACCGGCGCUCAACUGACGCUGAGGCACGAAAGCGUGGGGAUCGAACAGGAUUAGAUACCCUUGUAGUC
rnacentral:rRNA from 1 species